rnacentral:rRNA from 1 species
UACGGAGGAUGCGAGCGUUAUCCGGAUUUAUUGGGUUUAAAGGGUGCGUAGGCGGGCUGUUAAGUCAGCGGUCAAAUGUCGGGGCUCAACCCCGUCGUGCCGUUGAAACUGGCGUUCUUGAGUGAGCGAGAAGUAUGCGGAAUGCGUGGUGUAGCGGUGAAAUGCGUAGAUAUUAGGAGGAACACCAGUGGCGAAGGCGGCUCUCUGGUCUGUAACUGACGCUGAGGCUCGAAAGCAUGGGUAGCGAACAGG